rnacentral:rRNA from 1 species
UGCAUAACUCUCGGCAACGGAUAUCUUGGCUCUCGCAUCGAUGAAGAACGUAGCAAAAUGGGAUAAAUUGGUGUGAAUUGCAGAAUCCCGUGAAUCAUCGAGUUUUUGAACGCAAGUAGCGCCCGAGGCCACCUGGUUGAGGGCAGACUGCCUGGGCGUCACGC